rnacentral:lncRNA from 1 species
GGAGAACCGAAGCUUCCUGAGGCAUUGUGGUUUUCCAGCCAAUUGUGCCAAAUAUCUUAAUUAUUCGAGGCUUUGAUUAACACAGUGUAUACUAGUGACACCUGCUGGUCAAAAGAGCUGCCAAAUUUAGAGCUGAAUUUAGAGCUGCCAAAUUAUUAUAGAUGACGUCCCACACCCCGUAGUGCGUGCGCAGCGUAGCCUUUUUGUCUUCUACCAAAACAGUCAGGUGGUUGUUCGACGAAGUGAGGCUUCGGACGUCAUUGAUCACGUGCUUCUGAUAAAGUGAUAUCGGCGCACUGCUUUGAAGUACACUGCUUAGCGAUUUUGAUGCAUACCUCGGAGCUCCGGUAUCAAACGUAACACCACUACUAAUAGGCACACAAUUAGUUGACAAUGAACACUGUAUGGGCUCCCGUAUGAAAAAACACAUGAUUUCACAUGUGACAUUUCCACAUUUCACAUGAAGUUUCACAUGUGGAUUUUCACGUGAUUGCAUAACCUGUCAUGUGUGGAUAAACUUUUUCUCAUGAGAUUUCACAGGUGAUGCCCUGCAAACACAGCAGAAAGGUCAAUGUACUUCAAAUCCAGAGGUUGUGAGUUCAAAUCCUAGGUUGGGUCAUACUUUAGAGCUGAACAGUGAUAACGCAUGCAAUUGCACAUGGGACAACAUGUGAAGUUUCAAAAACACAUCUUUUCACAUGUGAAGUGUUCCAAAAACACAUGUCACAUGUGAAAUAUCAUGUGACACGCAGAGGAGUAGGUGGACCAGGCAGAGGAGUAGGUGGACCAGGCAGAGGAGUAGGUUUACCAGGCAGAGGAGUAGGUUUACCAGGCAGAGGAGUAGCUGGACCAGGCAGAGGAGUAGCUGGACCAGGCAGAGGAGUAAGUGGACCAGGCAGAGGAGUAGGUGGACCAGGCAGAGGAGUAGGUGGACCAGGCAAAGGAGUAGGUGGACCAGGCAGAGGAGUAGGUGGACCAGGGAGAGGAGUAGGUGGACCAGGGAGAAGGAGAGGUAGGGGGAGAGGAGUAAAUGCAUGGUGGAGUUCAAAGGAGAGUAAGAGCUGUUGUCACUGAUGAAAUAAGAGCCACCAUCAUAGACCAUGUGAUAAACCUUGGUCUAUCACUGAGAGAGACUGGUGAAAGAGUCCAGUCUAAUACCAUGGUCUAUCACUGAGAGAGACUGGUGAAAGAGUCCAGCCUAAUACCAUGGUCUAUCACUGAGAGAGGCUGGUGAAAGAGUCCAGUCUAAUACCAUGGUCUAUCACUGAGAGAGACUGGUGAAAGAGUCCAGUCUAAUACCAUGGUCUAUCACUGAGAGAGACUGGUGAAAGACUCCAGCCUAAUACCAUGGUCUAUCACUGAGAGAGACUGGUGAAAGAGUCCAGCCUAAUACCAUGGUCUAUCACUGAGAGAGGCUGGUGAAAGAGUCCAGUCUAAUACCAUGGUCUAACACUGAGAGAGACUGGUGAAAGAGUCCAGCCUAAUACCAUGGUCUAUCACUGAGAGAGACUGGUGAAAGAGUCCAGCCUAAUACCAUGGUCUAUCACAGAGAGAGACUGGUGAAAGAGUCCAGUCUAAUACCAUGGUCUAUCACUGAGAGAGGCUGGUGAAAGAGUCCAGUCUAAUACCAUGGUCUAUCAC